GGAGAACCACUAAAGAAGACGGAACAGCUAGUUCCUGCCUUAAUGAUUAACCGACCUUGCAACAGUCCACCUUGUGAUAUGUUCCUGCCCUUCCCCAACUAAUCCAUCCACCUUGUGAUAUGUUCCUGCCCUUCCCCAACUAAUCCAUCCACCUUGUGAUAUGUUCCUGCCCUUCCCCAACUAAUCCAUCCACCAUUGUGACAUGUUCCUGCCCUACCCUAACUAAUCCAUCCACCACUGUGACAUGUUCCUGCCCUACCCUAACUAAUCCAUCCACCUUGUGAUAUGUUCCUUCCCUACCCUAACUAAUCCAUCCACCUUGUGAUAUGUUCCUGCCCUUCCCCAACUAAUCCAUCCACCACUGUGACAUGUUCCUGCCCUACCCUAACUAAUCCAUCCACCUUGUGAUAUGUUCCUUCCCUACCCUAAUUAAUCCAUCCACCUUGUGAUAUGUUCCUGCCCUUCCCCAACUAAUCCAUCCACCUUGUGAUAUCGUGCCUUAUGACUUCCCCCACCUUGUGACUAUGCACCUUGUAACAUUCUUCCCCUGCCCAAAAAAACUGCCCCUAACUGUAACUUUCCACUACCUACCCCAAACCUAUAGAACCAGUUCCACUCCCACCACCCUUCGCUGACUCCUUUCUCUGACUCAGCCCACUUGCACCCAAGUGAAUAAACAGCCUUGUUGCUC
rnacentral:lncRNA from 10 species